rnacentral:rRNA from 1 species
CUAGCGAUAGGAUGCUAAUCUCAAAAAGCCGAUCGUAGUCCGGAUUGGAGUCUGCAACUCGACUCCAUGAAGUCGGAAUCGCUAGUAAUCGCGGAUCAGAAUGCCGCGGUGAAUACGUUCCCGGGCCUUGUACACACCGCCCGUCACACCAUGGGAGUUUGUUGCACCAGAAGUAGGUAGUCUAACCGUAAGGAGGACGCUUACCACGGUGUGGCCGAUGACUGGGGUGAAGUCGUAACAAGGUAGCCGUAGGGGAACCUGCGGCUGGAUCACCUCCUUAA